ACUGGAGCUUGACAACAAGCCUCGAGCUCCUCUUCUUUUUCUCUGAAUCGAGCUCUCCGCCGGCGACGGAUGCCACAAUCUUCUUGGGAUCACGAUCGGCCGCCAUCUGAAGCAUGCGAUGGAUGUCCGAACCCUAACCCCGUGGCCGCCGCCCCGGCCGUCGAUGUAUCCGGCGCGCUGCUCCUGGUCCUUGGCUAUCUCCGCCUGCCGGAGUUGUUGGCCUUCCAGGGCGUCUCGCGCCUCUUCAGGGACGCGGUCUCGCUGGACAGCUUGCUUUGGCGGCGCGUCGCGAUCGAGCGCCCUUUGAGCUUGCGGCUUACUGACGAAGCCCUCGUCCGUAUCACGUCGAGGGCCGGUGGGAAAUUGGAGGCUUUAGCUCUUCUGGAUUGCUGGAAGGUCACCGACGAUGGGCUCAUGCAGGUUGUGAAUCGAAAUCGAGGCAUCACCAAGCUUCAUGUACCUGGAUGCACGCAACUAAGUGCUGAUGGUGUAGUAAGAAUACUAAAAUGGCAUUAUGAGCUAAAAGGCCGGUUGAAGUCUCUCCAGAUUCAUGGAAUCCCUAACCUAACAAUCUAUCAUCUUGACGCUCUGAAGUUAUUGUUUAAAAAUGAUGUUCUGCAAGUUUCAUAUCCCAUCAACUAUAACAACCGGCCCUCUAACAUCUUCAACAGUGACCGCCCGAUAGAUGUUGAUAUUUGCCCAAAGUGCAGUAAUGUUCGAAUAGUUUUUGAUUGUACGAGGGAGAACUGCAGGUCUGGGAAGUCACAAUGGAGAGAAUGCAGAGGUUGUUUCUUUUGCAUUGCAAGGUGCGAAGACUGUGGAGGUUGUUUUGAUUUUUCAGAACUCAGUGAAGAAGCUAUCUGCUCUCACCUUCUCUGCCAGACAUGUUGGCUUCAUCUGCCAAAAUGCAACGUCUGCAAUCGUCCAUAUUGCAAUAGGGAUUCGAAUAUCCUUGAAGGUUCUUCCAAGUUUCUUGGUUUCCUGUGUGGGCAAUGUAUGGAGUCCGCUAGCUCAUCGUAUCAAUCUUACAGUGGAUAAAUUCCUUAAACUUCUGUUAUAUUGACCUGCUUCAAGUAAUAUUCGAUGAAUAACUUGGCAGAAUUUGGGGUUAGAAGAAAUGUGUACUGUCCCAAAGAAUGUAAUUUCAUCCUUGAUCACAAAUUGAAACCUAAGGGACCAAUUUGCUUUGGUUGUCCUACAAAUCAAACUAUGAGCAAAUUUGUUUGUUCGCUUAGCUUCUGGAAGAGACAACAAACUGUUUAACUGAAGGCAGCUUUAAUGGUGAUAAGGUCACACCUCUGACUCAGUGAAGUGAUGAGCAAACUCGAAUCAGGUACAAAGGUUUUGCUCAUCUAUUUGUAGAUCCUACUGAGAAGACCUAACCACUUGAAGCUUGAUUGAGAAAUAUCUUUCGACAAAGUCUUGACCAACUUGGUAUUACCACGCAGUGAUAAGACACACAUAAUGAUACCAUUAUUUGUAACUAAUCAGACAAUGCAUCAAAUUUUGGAGAUGAUCAAGCACUGCUAUCGUAUCACAGAGUGCAUACUUAAUAGCAAAUGGAAUGCACUUUGACUUCUGAACUCUCAAAGCUCAAUCAUCGACCCCACUGGCUCAAUUCUCAGCACAGUGUGUUUGGUUCUCUUCUGAAUCUUUGCUGCAUGAAUAUCAUCAAUGUGUGGUUUUAUCCAGCAUUCUCCCGAUAACUCUUAUCUUAAUGUUCAGAAGCUGCCAUAAAAUUGUCAAGACCUAUCUGUAAUUUACCUCGGAAUCACUUAUUCUGAUUAAAUAUUGUGGUCCUGGAGAGCUGGUGGUCUUAAAGUGCUAGUAC